AUGUUGCGAUUAUUACGAAAUAAACGAAGAACCAGAGUGAAUAAGAAUGAAAACGAAAUGACAGCGGCCGAGAGGGAGACAUUGUACGUGUACAUUCUUACGGAGAGGAUCGUCGCAGAUACACCGACACAGAUACAGAUACAGAUGCAGCGACACAUCCAGCAGGCAGAUCGUGCCGGAAAAGUGGGGAUAUGGGGAAAUCGGGAAUGAGGAAAGCGGAAAUCGUCUUUAUGGCGACUUCAUUGCCGAAGAUUACAAAUCGUUGGGUGAGUUCACAUGAGUCUCGUUGGCCAAUUGGUAUAAAUAAAGCAAUGGGUUCCCAUAGAUUUUCUUUUAUAACAUUUAUGAUUUUCCAUAGGUAUAUACUUCCGUUAGCUUAAUCACCACCCGUAUUUAAUAAAGAAUUUAAAGUUUAAUUAUGCAAUUGUAAUUGUGCGAUAAUUAUUUAGAAUGUUCGCUCAAAAACCUGAAUUCUGUUUACGUAACUUAGUAUGACGUAAGUCACGCUUGCUAAUUAGCAAGGUUAAUAUGUAUACAGUAUUAAAAUAAAAUGUUUUUACUUUCGAAACAGCGUACAGCUGGAUUGCUAAUUAAAACUUUAAACCUA